GUCAUUUCAAGUGAGGUUUCCAGGGAUGCACAGAUAUUCUGGCAGAGCAUACAUAAAGCUCUAAGUAGAUAAUUCAGUCAUAUGCCUUAUAGUAUCUGUGCCAUAGACAUUUAGCCCUUAUUUACCCAAAUACUCUGAAACUAUUAGAAACUGGCAUAGAUAACAUAGAUAGCUCAUUGCUUGUAAUACCUGUCAUCUAAUAGUCACUCAGCAAAUGUUCAUUGAAUAAAUAAAUGAGAAAUGUUGAGGUGGGUGAGUCCUUAGGUAUGCAAUAACCCCAUUCUUUUAGCAUGUUCUCAUAGGUGCUAGAUCCUAGAGCUUAUCAAAGAUGUCAUUAAUUUAAGUCCUACUUGAUUUAAUUUUCUCAAGUAGAGUGAGAAAAUUUUAUUUUCCAAUGAAUUAUUUUGGGCUUGAGCAGAUUUCUUAAAGCAUAGGAUAUCUUUUGUAAUAAAAAUUAAAUUCAAAAAAUACUCAAGAUUUGCCCCAGUAGAGACCUCCUUUUAGAUGUGGCUCCUAAACAAUUUGGUUUUUCAUUUUAGGGUGUCCCCACCACCAGUUUGUCUUCCAUUUAGGAUAUGUCUGUAACUACACCUGCUUCAACAAGUCAGCUUCCAAGGGAUACAGUUGCUCCGGGUUAAACUCUGACCCAAGCAUGUGUGUUGUAACCCAAGGCAUUUUUGGAGAGUUAAAGCAAUGAGUGGUAACAAAUAAGAGAGGGAAAAUUUACACAAAAUAACCUAAAUCUAGAUUCUUUGGUUUACAAAAUAUGGCCUAUCUCCAAUAUCUAAGAGUCCCGUCUCUCAGGCAAGGAACCCAGAGCACUUCCACCUUUCAAUUCCUGAAUACGAUUUUCUAUUUCCAGCUCUGAGUUCACAGCUCAAUUCUGCAUUCACAGCUCAAAGCCCAUGAACCAACAUUUAGUCCCAACGGCCGUUUCCUCAUAAAUGCAUUGAGAACUACUGCCAUUGCAAAAGAGUCUUCGAUAUCAUUUUGCAGAUGUACUGCACUUCUUCCCAGGAUGAGAGCGGUAGAGGAGAAGCUUCCAGGAACUGCUCCCAUUUCCUGCUGAUUUCUUCAAAAGGCGGCAUACGGUAGUCAGGAAAUUGCCCAACACUCAGCAAGUCACCAAGAGCAUCUUCCUUCUCCAGUGAUGUGAGGGGGCCAUGGAACAGUGGAGUUGAAAGAACUUCUGCCACAAUCCUUCUGGGUCCAGCUAGCACCCUAGGAGAUGGGUACUUACAAGAACUGGAAGAACAGAGCAUUAAGAAUUGUACAACAGAAGCCCAAGCAAGAAACAGUGAGCGAAGAAUGGAGGGAGUGUACUUGGUCAAACCAAAAAUGGAGGAAGUAAACAGUACUUGGUCAUCCUUGAAGACCCGCCCACGCUGGGCAAGAAUCUGAGUCACCAGUUGCUAGCGUCUGGAGAUGGUUUGCUCCCCAGAGGUUCAUGUGCUGGAGACUGGGUCUCUAGUAUGGUGGUGCUGAGGUAGUAGAACCUUUAAGAGGUGGCAAGUGGGGCCUCAUGGAAGUAAUCACGUCACAGGCCACCACCCUGGGUAGGGACUCAUGGGUGUAUUGUGGGACUGCAUUAAUUCCUGAAGGGACGGAUUGUUACGAGAGUGUGAUGGCCCUGAUCCCUUUUCUGUUUGCAUCGCUUACCACUCUUGCACGUGCUCCCACCAUUGUGAUGCAUCUGCCAAGAGGUCUUCACUAGGGCUGUGCAGAAGCCUGUGCUGUGCUCUGGAACCUCCAGAACUGUUUAUGUGUCUGUGUUGGUGAUAAUGUAAUGGGAAAAGGAUAAAGUCAAAUUCAAAGAACUUGAUCUUCCUGGUUACAUUGGUUGGAUUUUGGAAAUCUGGGAACGGAGCUUUUGGGAUUUCAAGGCAAUGUUGUCUAGAAAAAUAAAUUCCAUAACCUUCAUGCAAUGCUUGAGAAGACAGUGUACGGAAAACACAGAGACACCACAGCGGGUAGUUCUGAAGCAAUGACUGAUGAACCUUUUCAGACUCAAGGACAUAAAGUGAUAAACAACCCAGAAGGAG